rnacentral:misc_RNA from 1 species
AACGCACAUUGCGCCCGCCGGUAUUCCGGCGGGCAUGCCUGUUCGAGCGUCAUUUCAACCAUCAAGCCCUGGGCUUGUGUUGGGGACCCGCGGCUGCUCGCGGGCCCUGAAAAGCAGUGGCGGGCUCGCUAGUCACACCGAGCGUAGUAGAACUUCUAUUCGAUCUCGCUCAGGGCGUGCGGCGGGUGCCAGCCGUAAAACCCCAGCUUCUUCUAAGGUUGACCUCGGAUCAGGUAGGAGGACCCGCUGAACUUAA